UACGAAGGGUGCAAACGUUGCUCGGAAUUAUUGGGCGUAAAGCGCACGUAGGCGGCUCCAAAAGUCGGAUGUGAAAGCCCUGGGCUCAACCUAGGAAGUGCAUUCGAAACUGCGGGGCUGGAGUCCUGGAGAGGAAGGCGGAAUUCUCGGUGUAGAGGUGAAAUUCGUAGAUAUCGAGAGGAACACCGGUGGCGAAGGCGGCCUUCUGGACAGUGACUGACGCUGAGGCGCGAAAGCUAGGGGAGCGAACGGG
rnacentral:rRNA from 1 species